GUUUUUUUUGUGGUGUAUAUUACAAAAAAGGGGGAGGGGCUUUUAACACCAAAAUACCUUAACAAUCCUACAAUAUUUGUUUACAGAAUGAGAAUUGAAUUCCGAUCCGUUUGUACGGGGAACAUGUGGUUGCAACCCCCUCUUUAAUUGCCUGUUCGAUUUUUUUUUGCAGUGUCGAAAAGGGAGAUAGACGGCAGUUUUAUCAAGAAGUUAUGUACGUUCUGCUAUACAUUUGACAGUCAGUAAUUAUUAUGAAGUACACAUGUCGACCAGAGGCAUGGAACAGAGAGGAGAGGUUUUAAAGUACCAGAUGCUUAUCUGAGAUUCCAAUUUGAACUAAAGAAAGCAAUAAAUAAAGAUAUGUAGGAGAAAUAAUC
rnacentral:lncRNA from 1 species